GCGGGUGUGGCGGAAUCGGCAGACGCGCUAGAUUCAGGUUCUAGUGGUAGUAAUACCGUAUGGGUUCAAGUCCCUUCACCCGCA
rnacentral:tRNA from 3 species